ACAUAAGAGACUGGGGCUCCAUCUCUGGCUCAGGAAGAUCCCCUGGAGGAAGGCAUGGCAACCCACUCCAGUAUCCUUGCCUGGAGAACCCCAUGGACAGAGGAGCCUGGUGGGCUACAGUCCACAGGGUUGCACAGU